AGGAACCAGGAAGUAGAGCGGAAUGGCGAGCGGGGAGGAGAACCGAGCCGCGGCCUUACCAAAACACUCCUAUUGGUUCGACUUCUGGGCUUUUGUGCUGUUUGACAUCGCGUUUUUCAUAUUCAUGUACUUUGUUGCUCCAUAAAUGUGUUUGUGGUCUGUAAAUGCCAAGGACGGUUACCGACCUACAACAGAGAGGACGGGUUCAUAAUGGCUGUUGACCCCGGGGGUGUGUCCAUGGCUUUGCCUGCUUUUGUCUGGCUAUCGUAUCCAGCGACAGAUCACUGCACCUGGUGUCCUGUCUUCCAGGGCCCUUUUACAACCCCAGACUACACUAAUCCAAUGCAUCACCUUCUUGCUACAAAUGACUAAUCAUCCCCUUACAGACUCUUCUUCGGGGAAGUCGAUUAAUAUUAAAUUAUUUUUGUACAUUGCCAUGCAUUGACCAAUGUUUUGAAAAGUAUCCUGAUAAGUGUGUGCUAAUUCAAACAAGUGGUUGGAAGAUGAAUGAAUGAAUUUUUGUUGGCUUUACUACAAUCUUGUAAUUCCCUAAGGAACAACAAUUAAAUUAAUUUUAAUAA